rnacentral:rRNA from 1 species
UUAAGCGACUAAGCGUACACGGUGGAUGCCCUGGCAGUCAGAGGCGAUGAAGGACGUGCUAAUCUGCGAUAAGCGUCGGUAAGGUGAUAUGAACCGUUAUAACCGGCGAUUUCCGAAUGGGGAAACCCAGUGUGAUUCGUCACACUAUCAUUAACUGAAUCCAUAGGUUAAUGAGGCGAACCGGGGGAACUGAAACAUCUAAGUACCCCGAGGAAAAGAAAUCAACCGAGAUUCCCCCAGUAGCGGCGAGCGAACGGGGAGCAGCCCAGAGCCUGAAUCAGUGUGUGUGUUAGUGGAAGCGUCUGGAAAGGCGCGCGAUACAGGGUGACAGCCCCGUACACAAAAAUGCACAUACUGUGAGCUCGAUGAGUAGGGCGGGACACGUGGUAUCCUGUCUGAAUAUGGGGGGACCAUCCUCCAAGGCUAAAUACUCCUGACUGACCGAUAGUGAACCAGUACCGUGAGGGAAAGGCGAAAAGAACCCCGGCGAGGGGAGUGAAAAAGAACCUGAAACCGUGUACGUACAAGCAGUGGGAGCCUCUUAAUGGGGUGACUGCGUACCUUUUGUAUAAUGGGUCAGCGACUUAUAUUCUGUAGCAAGGUUAACCGAAUAGGGGAGCCGAAGGGAAACCGAGUCUUAACUGGGCGUUAAGUUGCAGGGUAUAGACCCGAAACCCGGUGAUCUAGCCAUGGGCAGGUUGAAGGUUGGGUAACACUAACUGGAGGACCGAACCGACUAAUGUUGAAAAAUUAGCGGAUGACUUGUGGCUGGGGGUGAAAGGCCAAUCAAACCGGGAGAUAGCUGGUUCUCCCCGAAAGCUAUUUAGGUAGCGCCUCGUGAAUUCAUCUCCGGGGGUAGAGCACUGUUUCGGCAAGGGGGUCAUCCCGACUUACCAACCCGAUGCAAACUGCGAAUACCGGAGAAUGUUAUCACGGGAGACACACGGCGGGUGCUAACGUCCGUCGUGAAGAGGGAAACAACCCAGACCGCCAGCUAAGGUCCCAAAGUCAUGGUUAAGUGGGAAACGAUGUGGGAAGGCCCAGACAGCCAGGAUGUUGGCUUAGAAGCAGCCAUCAUUUAAAGAAAGCGUAAUAGCUCACUGGUCGAGUCGGCCUGCGCGGAAGAUGUAACGGGGCUAAACCAUGCACCGAAGCUGCGGCAGCGACACUAUGUGUUGUUGGGUAGGGGAGCGUUCUGUAAGCCUGUGAAGGUGUACUGUGAGGUAUGCUGGAGGUAUCAGAAGUGCGAAUGCUGACAUAAGUAACGAUAAAGCGGGUGAAAAGCCCGCUCGCCGGAAGACCAAGGGUUCCUGUCCAACGUUAAUCGGGGCAGGGUGAGUCGACCCCUAAGGCGAGGCCGAAAGGCGUAGUCGAUGGGAAACAGGUUAAUAUUCCUGUACUUGGUGUUACUGCGAAGGGGGGACGGAGAAGGCUAUGUUGGCCGGGCGACGGUUGUCCCGGUUUAAGCGUGUAGGCUGGUUUUCCAGGCAAAUCCGGAAAAUCAAGGCUGAGGCGUGAUGACGAGGCACUACGGUGCUGAAGCAACAAAUGCCCUGCUUCCAGGAAAAGCCUCUAAGCAUCAGGUAACAUCAAAUCGUACCCCAAACCGACACAGGUGGUCAGGUAGAGAAUACCAAGGCGCUUGAGAGAACUCGGGUGAAGGAACUAGGCAAAAUGGUGCCGUAACUUCGGGAGAAGGCACGCUGAUAUGUAGGUGAAGUCCCUUGCGGAUGGAGCUGAAAUCAGUCGAAGAUACCAGCUGGCUGCAACUGUUUAUUAAAAACACAGCACUGUGCAAACACGAAAGUGGACGUAUACGGUGUGACGCCUGCCCGGUGCCGGAAGGUUAAUUGAUGGGGUUAGCGGUAACGCGAAGCUCUUGAUCGAAGCCCCGGUAAACGGCGGCCGUAACUAUAACGGUCCUAAGGUAGCGAAAUUCCUUGUCGGGUAAGUUCCGACCUGCACGAAUGGCGUAAUGAUGGCCAGGCUGUCUCCACCCGAGACUCAGUGAAAUUGAACUCGCUGUGAAGAUGCAGUGUACCCGCGGCAAGACGGAAAGACCCCGUGAACCUUUACUAUAGCUUGACACUGAACAUUGAGCCUUGAUGUGUAGGAUAGGUGGGAGGCUUUGAAGUGUGGACGCCAGUCUGCAUGGAGCCGACCUUGAAAUACCACCCUUUAAUGUUUGAUGUUCUAACGUUGGCCCCUAAUCGGGGUUGCGGACAGUGUCUGGUGGGUAGUUUGACUGGGGCGGUCUCCUCCUAAAGAGUAACGGAGGAGCACGAAGGUUGGCUAAUCCUGGUCGGACAUCAGGAGGUUAGUGCAAUGGCAUAAGCCAGCUUGACUGCGAGCGUGACGGCGCGAGCAGGUGCGAAAGCAGGUCAUAGUGAUCCGGUGGUUCUGAAUGGAAGGGCCAUCGCUCAACGGAUAAAAGGUACUCCGGGGAUAACAGGCUGAUACCGCCCAAGAGUUCAUAUCGACGGCGGUGUUUGGCACCUCGAUGUCGGCUCAUCACAUCCUGGGGCUGAAGUAGGUCCCAAGGGUAUGGCUGUUCGCCAUUUAAAGUGGUACGCGAGCUGGGUUUAGAACGUCGUGAGACAGUUCGGUCCCUAUCUGCCGUGGGCGCUGGAGAACUGAGGGGGGCUGCUCCUAGUACGAGAGGACCGGAGUGGACGCAUCACUGGUGUUCGGGUUGUCAUGCCAAUGGCACUGCCCGGUAGCUAAAUGCGGAAGAGAUAAGUGCUGAAAGCAUCUAAGCACGAAACUUGCCCCGAGAUGAGUUCUCCCUGACUCCCUGAGAGUCCUGAAGGAACGUUGAAGACGACGACGUUGAUAGGCCGGGUGUGUAAGCGCAGCGAUGCGUUGAGCUAACCGGUACUAAUGAACCGUGAGGCUUAACCU